UUAACUAUAGUAUAAAAGUAAGUACAUUAGGUUGUCAACUUAAUAGUAGGGGUAACCUUAGUUAAU
rnacentral:tRNA from 1 species